UAGGGAAUCUUGCGCAAUGGGCGAAAGCCUGACGCAGCAACGCCGCGUGGGGGAAGAAGGCUCUAGGGUCGUAAACCCCUUUCAGCAGGGACGAAAAUGACGGUACCUGCAGAAGAAGCGCCGGCCAACUACGUGCCAGCAGCCGCGGUAAUACGUAGGGCGCAAGCGUUGUCCGGAUUUAUUGGGCGUAAAGGGCUCGUAGGCGGUUCGGUAAGUCGGGUGUGAAAACUCAGGGCUCAACUCUGAGACGCCACUCGAUACUGCCAUGACUAGAGUCCGGUAGAGGAGUGCGGAAUUCCUGGUGUAGCGGUGAAAUGCGCAGAUAUCAGGAGGAACACCGACAGCGAAGGCAGCACUCUGGGCCGGUACUGACGCUGAGGAGCGAAAGCGUGGGGAGCAAACAGG
rnacentral:rRNA from 1 species